GGAAGUAAAAGUCGCAACAAGGUCUCCGUAGGUGAACCUGCGGAGGGAUCAUUACAGAGUUCAUGCCCUACCGGAUAGAUCUCCCACCCUAUGUUAUUAUUACUUUGUUGCUUUGGCGGGCCGUUAGGCUCCGGCCCGACUACCGGCCCCGGCUGGUAAGCGCCCGCCAGAGGACCCAAAACCCUGAAUAUUAGUGUCGUCUGAGUACUAUAUAAUAGUUAAAACUUUCAACAACGGAUCUCUUGGUUCUG
rnacentral:misc_RNA from 1 species